rnacentral:rRNA from 1 species
UACGUAGGGGGCAAGCGUUGUCCGGAUUUAUUGGGCGUAAAGAGCGUGUAGGCGGCUAGGUAGGUCCGUUGUGAAAACUCGAGGCUCAACCUCGAGACGCCGGUGGAAACCAUCUAGCUAGAGUCCGGAAGAGGAGAGUGGAAUUCCUGGUGUAGCGGUGAAAUGCGCAGAUAUCAGGAAGAACACCCGUGGCGAAGGCGGCUCUCUGGGCAACAACUGACGCUGAGGAGCGAAAGCGUGGGGAGCGAACAGG